AAGAAUAUGCUUGAGAAUAUUCCCUACCGUGCCAUGCUGUAUGAUAUUCCCUGUCUGCUGUAUGGUAUUCCCUAUCUGCUGUAUGAUAUUCCCUAUCUGCUGUAUGGUAUUCCCUAUCCUGCCAUGCUGUAUGUUCUUUCUUUGUGGGGAUUUAAAAAGACCAAAAAAAUUUUUUUGGCCAUGUUGGUCUUGAGUCAAAGCAAGAUGCAGGAUGAAGGCUCCCACCUGCUCCCCUGGCUACCUGCUCACCCCUGGCUCUAUCAGAAUUAGGGGCCUCUCUCAGCUGUGCACAGCCAGUACCUUCUCCACACUGGAUAGUGUUUCAUUCAGUUGUCUUUUCUAUAAAAAAAAAAAAAAAGACUUAUUUGAGUUUUAGUUAUGGGAGGUUGUGUGUGUGUGUGUGUGUGUGUGUGUGUGUAUGCACGAGCAUGCACGGAAGCCAGUAAGCCACCUGAUAAUAGGUAUGGAGAACCAAGCUCUGAUCCUGUGGGAGAGCAGUGAGCCUUAACUACGGAGCCAUCUCUCCAGUCCUUGUUUUCUAUUAACAAUUUUAUUUUUGAUCAUUCUCGAGUCUUUUAGUGCCAUCGCAAGACUUCCUGUCCUUCUGCCCUUUGCCUUGUUUUCCUGAUACUGCCCUAUUAGGUGCUGAGUUGCGGAGGUUUGUGUUCAUAAAAGAUUCGUUAUCUUCUUGUCUACUGUUUCAUCUGACUUAGCCAAGGUUGUCUUUUAUGGUCUCUUUCUUUCUCUCUCUCUCCCUCUCCCUCUCUCUCCUUUUCACUUUCCCUUCCUGUAGGAACAAAGCUGGUGGCUUCCAUAUCUAUUUCCUGUGGCAUCCUUGCUGCUUAGAGCAAGCAGUAUUGCAGGGGUUGAAGAAAGCUAAAAAGUCACAUUGUUCAUAAACUUGCAAGAUCCUGAGCUGACAACUGAAACAUGCCCCUUUCCUUUAUUAGGGGAGAGUGGGUUAUUGGUAAUGAUAGCACUGGAUACCAGAAACACAGGCUGUAUUACAACCUGCUAGGGGUCUUGGCACAGGUGUGGGAGAUUCUGGGAUGUGCAUCCUAUACCACUUUGUAGUGCAGGAAAGUGUUAGAUACAUCUAUCAGCACAAAACAUAGAAGAAUAAAGUAUAUUGCUGGUAUGUGAAGGCUCCUAUUGAAAUAUAAGUACUGAGAGUGCUGACUGCCAGAAUGUGGAUUUAUGGGAAAUAAAGCCCUAAAAUACUUUCUCCAACAACAACAAAAAUAUAGACCUCUUGGAAACAGCUUUUCCUCUCUGUGUACUUAGCUCCCAUUGAGCUUAAAUUGCUCUCAGUAUUGGGAUAAUGACAAUUCGAUAAUACAGGAUGUGGAAGACAAACCAAAUAAAUUAACCAGCUGCUUUUAAGGCUAGUUCGUUCAAUGACUUAUCCCUAAAAUGCUUUGUAGAACACUCGUGCUCAGUAGGUCUCUAGGCAGGUUUAUGACUAGGAGAAAGAAAUGGAUUUUAUUAAAUGUCAGUGAAAUCAGGGCAGAUAGCUUUGUGGUACUUAAAUUAGUGCAGAAUGUGUGUAAGAAAAGUCAUUUAUAUUUUUCUAAAUCAUCAGUGCAGAACUUUCUUUGGCAUUUCUGCUAGAAAACAUGUUUCUACUCAAAAUUCCCAUAGAUUAGUAUAAAUUCGUAAAUGGAAAGUGCACCAGUUGAUAAUGGUCUCCUUCAUGAAGUGCUGUGUCCCCUAGAGCAAGCCCCACAGAAGGACAAUGACUGGCAGACAUGUGAAGUUGAAUACCAUGUAAAGCUUAGAAGCCCAAACUCGUGUGUUAGGAAUAAGGGCAGGGGAAGAGGCUUGAAAGGAACUGCUGAGGAACCGGGGACACGAUGCAAGGGAAGAGCUGCUUAGGUGCAGAGAGCCAGAGAAAAGAAUGCCAUCACGUCUAGAGAGCCAAAGAGAACACGUCUGUGUCCUCAUUGAAAAGAUCAUCAGCUACUUACAUGGAGCAAGGGAAGUCUGACAUUAAAAGGAGUUUUCAAAAUUGUGAUAAGCUUUGUAAAAGUUACAUGUUCUGCCCUUGAGGAAUGGGCAGUAGCCUGCCGUUGUGGGAGCUGGAAAUGAGCUAAAUAGAGUCCCUUUUGACAGAGAUGUGUUAACUGUAUCCAUGUAUACAGUAUAGUCUUUGAAACAUUAGGAAAUACAGGUUGGUUAUACAAGCCAUUAUAUAGCUCUACCAGUUGCAAACACAUUAUCUAUUAACAAUGAGAGGAGUACUAAGAGUAGCUCUCAGGCAGCCUACUUCCUAUCUCCCUGUUCAUCUUGCCCAAAUGCCUAGCAAAGUAAAAGGUGUGGUCCUUUCUCUAGCAGGUAGAAGGAAGGAAGCUCAGAUGAUAGCCAGACCCAGUGAAGAGGGUACCUUAACCGGACCUUGGUGCUGUGAUUGGACCAACAGGAUUGUAAAGCAUAUACCAGGACCAAGCAAUUGGAGAGACAUGACUUACAGAAGAAUGCUUGCUUCUUUACAGAUAAUUCAUUUUUAUUUACAAAAAGUAGUAGUGAUGUGUUUAAAACUAUUGUUUUGAGAACCAUCCAAAGACAAAUCACAUUUAAAUUAUAGUGGUAAAUAGUUUAAAAUGUUUCCUUCAUUUAGUGAAGUUAGCUUGUUUACUUUUUUGGGUUUCAGCCUGGUUCUGUUUUUCCAGUGCCUGGGACUUUCUGUCUUUACGAAACCCUCACUGAGGAUCUUUGCUCUCCCUGUUGCGUGUUACACAGAUGCUACAGGUCUGAACCAAAGCUGACAUGGACUGACAUCUGAGUUCUGGUCUCCUUCCUUCUCUUCCUGCCAGAACUCCUGGAAGCAGAACAGGACAAAGGGAAGCUAGGACCCUGCUGGCCUCAGUUUCCUCUGGUAACCCCAAACAAACUGAUUGUAGCACAGGGAGCUCUGUGGAGUGAAUCUGAAUGUUGUUUCUGUUUACAGCAAGUCGUAAUGGUUUUCUGAAGAAGCUGAUGGUAUAUUUUAAAAUAAGGAUUGUGACUAAUUGCUUAUACCUCUUCAUCUAGAGAUAGUGUCUUGUGACAUCUCCUUCAUUCAGUCUUCGUCAGGACUCAUGAUAGGUUCUCCAGGCCCAGACAGUCUGCCUUUAUCACAUGUACAUAGUCGCAACACUAAAUAGACUCUGCAGGUUGUACUUGUACGAUGGCUUGUGUGUGUGUGUGUGUGUGUGUGUGUGUGUGUAGCAAUAAUUAAAGGAGAGGUCAUGAAUUCAGGAGGAAGAGGAAGGAGAAGUAGAAGCCAUGUAAAUACAGUUCUCAUAAAAUUCUCAAAGAUCUUUUAAUUAAAAAAAUAGUGGUGGCUUCUGUAAAUUAAUUUGGAAGCACAUUUUUGUCCUCUUUUAAGAUUUCAGUAUGUUUUUUUAUCGCUUCAUCCAGCUCCCUAAAUUAAACUUGGUUGUAAAACGUGGACUUCAUCCUUAUUAAUGAGUUAACAUUAUAAAAAAAAUCACAUGAAUAAUUAGAAAAAUUUCUAUGUAAGAUUUCUUCAUACCCUUUUCUAGAAUUAUGAUUACUUUGUAAUAUAUGCUUCAUAUUUCUAUACUACUUUCUGUGUAAAUAUUUAUUAUGUGGCUAUUUAUUCAUAUUUAAGUGGUAUCAUAGAAAAUACUAUUUUGUAGUAUUUUUAAUAUCUUAAGUAUCUUUAUAUUGAUAAUACACAUAUAGAGACAGAUAUUUAUAGGUAGGUAGAUAGACAGACACACUGACUGAUAGUCCUGAUUUUGUCCAUCUCCAUAUUGUGCUCAGUAGUUGCCAUGUUUUUAGUUUAUCUGUGGUUGUCAUAUAUAACUUUAAUUGUAUAGCAUCAAUUUCUAGGUUGCCCCUGAUGUUUCCUCCCUUAUACUUAGGGCCUGGUAGUAGAUACACAAAACACUGAGGUAAACUGAAAGGAAUUUUAAAAAUUCUCUUGCCAGGAAUGGUGGCACCUGCCAACAAUCCUAGAGUAUGAUGGCAGAGGGAUAGUAGACCAAGAACUCUAUCUACACCAGCAUUCUAGGCCGACAAUAGUGAAGCUCAUCUCCGCCUCACCCCAGACCUCUCUCAGCCUCUGUCCUCAGUGUAGCAGACAGCAGUAACACACAUACGUCUGGUUGUUGUGCUUUCAGCGAUACAUGCUAUAGGUGGCACUGCUUAAAGAGUUGAAGUUGAGUAUAUCAAGAAGAAUAUGUUCUCAGUGGAUGAAUUAUCAGACCUGUGUCUUCUUCAGAAUUAAGGAGUUUUGACCAGUUAUAUUUUAUUUUAAAAUAGUCAGUGGGACUUCACAAUAGAUUCUAAUCUUUAUAUAGUGUCUAGCUACUGUGGAAAAUGUAAAGAUCCCAAAUCUUAAAGCAAAUGGUUCAUACUUUGUGAUUUGAUUUACUGUUAAAAAGAUAAUGUCACAUUAUUUGCUUUGGAUU
rnacentral:lncRNA from 1 species